rnacentral:tRNA from 1 species
UUCCCCGAUAGCUCAGUUGGUAGAGCAAAUGACUGUUAAUCAUUGGGUCACAGGUUCGAGCCCUGUUCGGGGAGCCAA